UACGGAAGGGGCAAGCGUUGUUCGGAAUUAUUGGGCGUAAAGGGCGCGUAGGUGGUUCUGUAUGUCUACCGUGAAAGCGUACGGCUCAACCGUAUUUUGUCGGUGGAAACUGCAGGACUUGAGGCUGGGAGGGGCUGGUGGAAUUCCCUGUGUAGCGGUGAAAUGCGUAGAGAUGGGGGAGAACACUCGUGGCGAAGGCGGCCAGCUAGACCAGUUCUGACACUGAGGCGCGACAGCGUGGGGAGCAAACAGA
rnacentral:rRNA from 1 species